rnacentral:rRNA from 1 species
CCUACGGGUGGCUGCAGUGGGGGAUAUUGCACAAUGGGGGAAACCCUGAUGCAGCGACGCCGCGUGAGUGAAGAAGUAUUUCGGUAUGUAAAGCUCUAUCAGCAGGGAAGAAAAUGACAGUACCUGACCAAGAAGCCCCGGCUAACUACGUGCCAGCAGCCGCGGUAAUACGUAGGGGGCAAGCGUUAUCCGGAUUUACUGGGUGUAAAGGGAGCGUAGGCGGGCUGUUAGGCCGGCGGUAAAAAUUCAGGGCUCAACCCUGUCGAGCCGUCGGAACUGGCAGUCUUGAGUGGGCGAGAAGUAUGCGGAAUGCGUGGUGUAGCGGUGAAAUGCAUAGAUAUCGCGCAGAACUCCGAUUGCGAAGGCAGCAUGCCGGCUCCACACUGACGCUGAGGCACGAAAGCGUGGGUAUCGAACAGGAUUAGAUACCCGGGUAGUC